AUCCAGCUGACGAGUACCAAAUAGGACGAAACGCUCAUCAAACUGGAU
rnacentral:hammerhead_ribozyme from 1 species